GGAAAGGCGCGCGAUACAGGGUGACAGCCCCGUACACAAAAAUGCACAUGCUGUGAGCUCGAUGAGUAGGGCGGGACACGUGGUAUCCUGUCUGAAUAUGGGGGGACCAUCCUCCAAGGCUAAAUACUCCUGACUGACCGAUAGUGAACCAGUACCGUGAGGGAAAGGCGAAAAGAACCCCGGCGAGGGGAGUGAAAAAGAACCUGAAACCGUGUACGUACAAGCAGUGGGAGCACGCUUAGGCGUGUGACUGCGUACCUUUUGUAUAAUGGGUCAGCGACUUAUAUUCUGUAGCAAGGUUAACCGAAUAGGGGAGCCGAAGGGAAACCGAGUCUUAACUGGGCGUUAAGUUGCAGGGUAUAGACCCGAAACCCGGUGAUCUAGCCAUGGGCAGGUUGAAGGUUGGGUAACACUAACUGGAGGACCGAACCGACUAAUGUUGAAAAAUUAGCGGAUGACUUGUGGCUGGGGGUGAAAGGCCAAUCAAACCGGGAGAUAGCUGGUUCUCCCCGAAAGCUAUUUAGGUAGCGCCUCGUGAAUUCAUCUCCGGGGGUAGAGCACUGUUUCGGCAAGGGGGUCAUCCCGACUUACCAACCCGAUGCAAACUGCGAAUACCGGAGAAUGUUAUCACGGGAGACACACGGCGGGUGCUAACGUCCGUCGUGAAGAGGGAAACAACCCAGACCGCCAGCUAAGGUCCCAAAGUCAUGGUUAAGUGGGAAACGAUGUGGGAAGGCCCAGACAGCCAGGAUGUUGGCUUAGAAGCAGCCAUCAUUUAAAGAAAGCGUAAUAGCUCACUGGUCGAGUCGGCCUGCGCGGAAGAUGUAACGGGGCUAAACCAUGCACCGAAGCUGCGGCAGCGACACUAUGUGUUGUUGGGUAGGGGAGCGUUCUGUAAGCCUGUGAAGGUGUGCUGUGAGGCAUGCUGGAGGUAUCAGAAGUGCGAAUGCUGACAUAAGUAACGAUAAAGCGGGUGAAAAGCCCGCUCGCCGGAAGACCAAGGGUUCCUGUCCAACGUUAAUCGGGGCAGGGUGAGUCGACCCCUAAGGCGAGGCCGAAAGGCGUAGUCGAUGGGAAACAGGUUAAUAUUCCUGUACUUGGUGUUACUGCGAAGGGGGGACGGAGAAGGCUAUGUUGGCCGGGCGACGGUUGUCCCGGUUUAAGCGUGUAGGCUGGUUUUCCAGGCAAAUCCGGAAAAUCAAGGCUGAGGCGUGAUGACGAGGCACUACGGUGCUGAAGCAACAAAUGCCCUGCUUCCAGGAAAAGCCUCUAAGCAUCAGGUAACAUCAAAUCGUACCCCAAACCGACACAGGUGGUCAGGUAGAGAAUACCAAGGCGCUUGAGAGAACUCGGGUGAAGGAACUAGGCAAAAUGGUGCCGUAACUUCGGGAGAAGGCACGCUGAUAUGUAGGUGAAGUCCCUUGCGGAUGGAGCUGAAAUCAGUCGAAGAUACCAGCUGGCUGCAACUGUUUAUUAAAAACACAGCACUGUGCAAACACGAAAGUGGACGUAUACGGUGUGACGCCUGCCCGGUGCCGGAAGGUUAAUUGAUGGGGUCAGCGCAAGCGAAGCUCUUGAUCGAAGCCCCGGUAAACGGCGGCCGUAACUAUAACGGUCCUAAGGUAGCGAAAUUCCUUGUCGGGUAAGUUCCGACCUGCACGAAUGGCGUAAUGAUGGCCAGGCUGUCUCCACCCGAGACUCAGUGAAAUUGAACUCGCUGUGAAGAUGCAGUGUACCCGCGGCAAGACGGAAAGACCCCGUGAACCUUUACUAUAGCUUGACACUGAACAUUGAGCCUUGAUGUGUAGGAUAGGUGGGAGGCUUUGAAGUGUGGACGCCAGUCUGCAUGGAGCCGACCUUGAAAUACCACCCUUUAAUGUUUGAUGUUCUAACGUGGACCCGU
rnacentral:rRNA from 1 species